GCCUUCUGGGCGCCAUGGGUAGCGCGUCAGCCUCAUAAUCUGAUGGUCCUGAGUUCAAGCCUCAGAGAAGGCA